rnacentral:rRNA from 1 species
UACGUAGGGGGCAAGCGUUAUCCGGAAUUACUGGGUGUAAAGGGAGCGUAGACGGUAAUGUAAGUCUGGAGUGAAAGGCGGGGGCCCAACCCCCGGACUGCUCUGGAAACUAUGUUACUAGAGUGCAGGAGAGGUAAGCGGAAUUCCUAGUGUAGCGGUGAAAUGCGUAGAUAUUAGGAGGAACACCAGUGGCGAAGGCGGCUUACUGGACUGUAACUGACACUGAGGCUCGAAAGCGUGGGGAGCAAACAGG